rnacentral:rRNA from 1 species
CCUAGUUGAUCCUGCCAGUAUUCAUGUGCUUGUCUCAAAUAUUAAGCCAUGCAUGUCUAAGUAUGAAAUAAUUCAGACUGUGAAACUGUGGAUGGCUCAUUAAAUCAGUUAUAAUGUUUUUGAUGGUACCAUACUUCUCAGAUAACUGUAGUAAUUCUAUAGAUAAUAUGUGCACCAAGUCUCAACUCUUUGGAAGGAUGCAUUUUUUAGAUAAAAUGUUGGUGCAAGCUUGCCCGCUUCUAUGGUUAAUCAUGAUAACUCAAUGGAUUGCACAACCUUUAUGUUGGCGAUGCUUGAUUCAAGUUUCUGCCCUAUCAACUUUCGAUGGUAGGAUAGAGGCAUACCAUGGUGGUGAUGGGUGAUGGAGAAUUAGGGAUUGAUUCUAGAGAGAGAGCUUGAAAAACUGUUACCACAUCCAAGGAAGGCAGCAGUCAUGCAAAUUACCCAAUCCUAACAUGGGGAGGUAGUUACAAUAAAUAACAAUACUGGGCUCAUCGAGUCUGGUAACUUUAAUGAGUACAAUAUAAAUCCCUUAAUGAGGAUCCAUUGGAGGGAAAGUCUGGUGCUAGUAGAUGUGGUAAUUCCAGCUCCAAUAGCAUAUAUUUAAGUUGUUGUAGUUGAAAAGCUCGUAGUUGGAUAUUGGGUCAUAAAGUUUAGUCCACCUACUCAGUGCGCACUUUCCCUUUUAUCACUUUUGUUGGCAGCAUGAUCCUGGCCUUAAUUGGAUAGGUUGUGGCUCCGGUGUUGUUACUUUGAAAAAAUUAGAGUGCUCCAAACAAGCUUAUGCUCUGAAAACAUUAGCAUGGAAUAAUGUGGUAGGAUUCUAGUCCUAUUAUGUUUGUCUUUGGGACUGGAGUAAUGAUUAAUAGGGACUAUCGGGGAAAUUUGUAUUUCAUUGUCAGAGGUGAAAUUCUUGGAUUUAUGAAAGGCAGACCACUACGAAAUCAUUUGCAAAGGAUGUUGUCAUUAAUCAAGAAAACAAGUUGGGGGCAUGGAAAAUUUUAGGGGCUAAUGUUCGCCUAGUGGGCUAAUUUUCCAUGAUUUUUCCAAAAACCGAUUCGCCAAUUUCCAAUUUUUAUAAAAGAUGAUUCGCCCAAAUUUUAGAAUAUAAAAUUAUUUUACCUUAAAAAUCGCCAACAUUAUAUAGUGGCUAUAUGAUAAAUCAUUAUAAAUUUGAAUAAUUUUACAAAUAUAUCAUUGAAAAAUUUAUAGUUUUCAUAUUAGGGAUUAGUGAGAUUCGCCAAUGUUUCUAAACUUCAAGAAAAUUUUCCAUCCUUAAAAUUUUCCUUGGUUGGGGGCUUGAAGAUGAUCAAAUACCAUCCUAGUCUCAACCAUAAACAAUGCUAACUAGGGAUCAACGAAUGUUGCUCUGAGGACUCUUCCAGAACCUUCUAAGAAUUCAGAGUGUUUGGGUUCCGAGGGGAGUAUGGUUGCAAGGCUAAAACUUAAAAGAAUUAACAGAAGGGCACCACUAGGAGUGGAUCCUGCAGCUUUAUUUGACUCAACACGGGGAAACUUACCAGGUCCAGACAUAGUAAGGAUUGACAAAUUGAGAGCUCUUUCUUGAUUCUAUGGGUGGUGGUGCAUGGUUGUUCUUAGUUGGUGGAGUGAUUUGUCUAGUUAAUUCUGAUAAUGAACGAGACCUUAGCCUACUAACUAGCUACACAGAGGUUCCUUUUCACAGCCAGCUUCUUAGAAGGACUAUGGCCAUUUAGGACAUGGAAGUUUGAGGAAAUAAUAGGUCUGUGAUUCCUUUAGAUGUUCUCAGUCGCACGCACACUACACUGAUGCAGCCAAUGAGUUUUUCUUUCUUGUUCAAGGGGAUCAGGAAAAUUUCUCAAAUUGCAUCGUGAUGGGGAUAGAACAUUGCAAUUAUUGGUCGUUAAUGAGGAAUUCCUAGUAAGUGUGUGUCAUCAACUCGUCUUGACUAUGUCCCUCCCUUUCUACACACCGCUCGUCGCUCCUACUGAUUGAAUGGUCAAUGAAGUGUUCGAAUUGUGUUGACGAUGGAGGUUUGUUGUCAUUGAUGUUGUGAGAAGUUCAUUGAACCUUAUCAUUUAGAGGAAGGAGAAGUGUAAUAAGGUUACUGUAGGUGAACCUAUAGUAG